AUAAGAACGAUAAGGGCGACCGCAAGGUCGCCCAUUUUGUUUCUCAGCUUAACACUUUUGGUUUGGCCGCCGAUCAGUUAAGUCGAGAGCAGAACUGGCGUUACGCAUAGCUGGCUGUUAGCUAGAUUCCUUACUAUUUCACUACUAACAGUUUUUGUAACCAUAACCCGGCUUUGUCCCGGGUUUUUUUAU
rnacentral:sRNA from 1 species